ACAUGUGAUGUGUCGCAGCGAAUAGGAAUGGUCUGAUCAGAGCACCAGACCUUGGCCUGAUCAGAACAGCAGAGCUGUGACCUUGGCCUGAUCAGAGCAGCAGAACUGUGACCAUGGCCCGAUCAGAACAGCAAUUUUGUGACCUUGGCCUGAUCAGAACACAAGAGAUGUGACCUUGGCCUGAUUAUGACAUUAGACAUGUAACAUGUUGAACACCAGAGCUGUGACCUUGACCUGAUUAUGACAUUAGACAUGUAACAUGUUGAACACCAGAGCUGUUACCUUGACCAAUCUACUAGGGGAUGUAACGUGUUGUGCUAAUAAACCUUCUGUUGUGAUGAUCAACCUUCUGUUGUGAUGAUCAACCUUUUGUUAGUUUUCUACCUACUCGUAUCUAUUCUUUUUCUAUUUUAUGUUUCAGUCACUUGUCAAGAGAAGAAGAUUUGUUUAGUUCAUAUGAAAGCAUCUUUACAGAUUGUAGCCUUCGGAAGCAGUUUGAUCUAAAUUUCGAUGUUCGAAUAGAUAGAAAAAAUCUUAAUAAUUUUGUCAAGAGCGUUACCAGGCUACAAUUUAUCAAGUGAAUGAAAGGUGAAGAAAAAGAACAGUGAUCAAUCUCAUAACUCCUAUAAGCAAUACAAAAUAUAGAUUUGGGCAAACACGGACCCUUCGAUAUACCAUAUGUGGGAUCAGGUACAUAGGAGGAGUAAGCAUCCUCUGUCGACCGGUCACACCCACCGUGAGCCCUAUAUCUUGAUCAGGUGAACGGAGUAAUCCGUAGUUAAAAAGUCAGUGUGCUAAGAACGACCUAACAAUAGGUAUGAAACACUUUAGACAACAUCUGACCUAAUUAUGAGUUGUAUUGGCAACUAGAUCAUUAUAACGACCAUAUAAUUUGCGAAAUGCUGACUUUAUACGAGACUGUUGUAACCCCUGUAACAUCAACUUGUUUGUCAGUAGCCAACCUCAAUGUAAGACCAUUACCAUUACGGGCGCCACCAUGAUUUGAUAACAUAAUAACUACACACGCAAUAUCUUAACAAACCAUUGCUAUUGAAUAUUCCCAAAGAUUCCAGCAAGUAAUCAUUUGUGCAUGUUCUUAGUCCAGUCUGCAACCCGGGAUAAUUCAAUCUGAACAAAAACUACCUAUAUUCUACCUAUAGAUGACUGGGUAUAACACACGCAACAUUCAAUUUUCGGCAAUAUUUUGUACAUAUCGUUUAAUUGUUUACAUCUACCACAUGUAGAAGAUACACAUCUAUUGUAUUGAAGAACAGCGAAUAUAGACCUGUAUAAAAAAAACUGUCAAGACUGAGCAGGUGGUAACCAAUGAAAUGUCUACUACAGUAACAAAUAUCCCCAUUUAGCAUUUGUUGCUGCUCGAAUUCUGCAUGCAUAGAGUUCAUUACAUGGUUUAUUUGUGCUACAGGGAUGGCCUACCACUCUUCCAGAAAUGUCUGACUUGUCUAGACCGUGCAUGAUUCCGGCACGUUCUAAAGAGUCGAUCUAAAAUGUCCCACUCGGGCUCUAUUUGCGAAAGACUGCGACUGUAUUUGGACCAAGGAAACAUGUGGGCAUUGUUUUGGUAAAGAUAGCCCAUUGCACGUUGCGCCACAUGAGAGUCGGGUUUUGGCAAAAGAUGGCAAGUUCUUCAAAUUUUUUUUAACUUCUUGUUGCAUAUACAAUGAUAUCAACUUAAACAAAUUCCACUGUUUUCUCUCUCUAGACUAUGCAGAUCAGCCAUCAUUGUGCUUAGUCCGAAAUUCGUUUUCAAAAGAGACAUUUCAUUGGACAGUUUAUUUUUAGCAUUUUACUCAUUACAAAUCUUGUGUCCAAAAUUUUAAUAGCUACAUUCGUCAAGGGUUAUGUGGAGGGUACUUAAUCACAAAAUCUUGACUUGUGAGGUUGAUGAUGAUCCAGCGGGUAUUGCGUCCACUGCAAAUCCCGCCCAUAAUGCUACUGUUGUGUAAUACAUUGUACUUAGUGACACUUGUGACUUCUAGACGUUCUAUUUUUAGAGCAAUGUUUGUCAGAGUUCAAUAUAGAGAUGAUGUAAUACCCAUUUCCCUGUGUCGUAAAAAGAAAGAUUCUGGAAGUUUCGUUUCAGUAUAAAUAGACUGUAAGUUUUCUGGCAAUAAGUACUUUACAUAAUUACAUUUAGACUAUAUCUGGGGAUUAGUUUUGACUUAACGGUCGAGUUGUGACAGCAUGAAGUCUAGAGUAGGAAUUCACCUCGGCAGUAAACAAACAUUAGACAACUUUGAUUAGACCUACUAUACAGUAACUUUUUUAUUGAUACAUGUAUAUUUUUCUGCAAAUCAGUGUAAAUAAAUUGUGGGGGACAUUCCCACCGUCAACACAGCGCGGCUUGAUACCAUUGAAGCGGAGACGCCACAGCAAACCAUCUCUGCCUGUUCUUGGAUUUAUACCCAACGUGUCCCAAAUGCAUUUCUGGUGCAAUUCUAAACCGGUUACACAAGUGCUGCAACCUAAUGAAUCGAUUCUUACAAGGCGUCGUAACCUUUGGUAAGCAGUUGUACUAGUCAGCGUUUGUAGAGACGAAGUCGUGUGCUUUUGUGGACGUUCAGUGCUCUUGCCACAGCAUUGUGAGUGUGUUCAGCCAACAGUAGUAUUGCACUGUCAUGUAACGCGCAUCGAUAGGUAGCCUAGACGUCCUUUUCGCGAUAUGAGAAAUGAAUUUCAAUAGCUGGCUAUUUUUCCCAGACGUCUUUUAAAGGAUGCAAAACAGCUCUGAGACGCAUAUAAUGCCGUGGUGUAUAUCUGUGGACGUGAUAAUCGGGGUAUCACGUGAUAAUCAGGAAACCCUGAUAAUAUGAUACUGACACGUAGGCCUAUAACUGGUAUAAAAACAGAAGCCGCAGUCCUCCUUUAGCAUUCAGUCCGGAUGCCUUGAAGAAAUGGAUUCAGAUGAUUGAAAAGUACAUGAGUUUGCGCCCCAGUAGUGGAAAAUGCAAUGCAUUAUAGCUCGGACCAAAAAUCGCUCCUAAGGGGAAUGUAUGGUACGACGACGUCCCAGUCGGGGUACAUCAACUGCAACAGAUUGUGGCCAAAAUGUGUAGAGAGGCAGGAUUAGAUGGGGUUUUUACAAAUCACUCUCUUCGAGCUACUGCCGCCACACGCCCAUAUGCUGCGGGUGUUGACGAACAACUAAAAGCGGGGAAAAACUGGUCACAGGUCAUCUGCGAUUCGCAACUACAAACGCACCUCCGAGGAACAAUUACACGAGUGUAAGGGAUUUGAUUCAGAAACCGUCCAGUGUCCCCACCGGAACCGAAGAAAGUGAAGCUCAAUGAAAGUUUCCUUUGGAUCGAGAAAAGAAAUAAACAUCACUGCCGGGGAUGUAACAGUGAAUUUGCGACUUCAAUGUGCAUAUAUUUAAAUGAAUAAUUGUGACAUGGAUUUAUAACUGUGGUGCCUAAACGAUUUCAUAUACAGUAAAAUCGGAUUAUACACGAAACACUCAUUUCGUAUAAUUUACUGGAAUAUUUCACGCCUUGAAUAUUGUAUUUGAUAAAUAAUGAAUAUGUUUUCUCGCACAA